GACGAACGCUGGCGGCGUGCUUAACACAUGCAAGUCGAACGGAAAGGCCCUGGUUUUGUGGGGUGCUCGAGUGGCGAACGGGUGAGUAACACGUGAGUAACCUGCCCGUGACUUUGGGAUAACUUCAGGAAACUGGGGCUAAUCCCGGAUAGGAGCUCCGGCUGCAUGGUGGGGGUUGGAGAGUUUCGGCGGUUGGGGUUGGACUCGCGGCUUAUCAGCUUGUGGGGGGGGAAGUGGCUCACCAAGGCUUUGACGGGUAGCCGGCCUGAGGGGGUGGACGGCGCCCAUGCGCCUGAGAUAGGGCCCAGACUCCUACGGGAGGCAGCGGUGGGGAGUAUUGCACAAUGGGCGGAAGCCUGAUGCGGCAACGCCGGGUGCGUGAUGACGGCCUUCGGGUUGUAAACCGCUUUCGCCUGUGACGAAGCGUGGGUGACGGUACUGGGUAAAGAAGCACCGGCUAACUACGUG
rnacentral:rRNA from 1 species